CGAAAUUACAACGUUUUACUUUAUUUUGUGAUUAUUAUUUGUUUCACAUGCGAUUCUUAUUCAUAUAUUGAUAAAAAUCAUGAAUUAAGGACAAAAAAGGGAUCAUGAUCAAUCUUAAAUUGUAAAAAGAUGUAUAUAGUAUAUGUUCCACGAAAUUUGUUUGGUUCUGGUCCAAUCAUUUGUAUAAGCUGUGGUACAUCUUGGCCACUAAUUUGCGUAAAACGUGCCAAUGAUUUCAUACAGGCAUAUAACUGUUCUUCAGCAGGACUACCAUUGAAGUAUUGCAAUAAUGCCAUUGUCAAUUCUACAGCAACAUCAUCGAAUACCUAUACAUUUUACAAAACAGAAAACAAUUAAAAUAAAAUUACGAUUAUUUAAUUACAUACCUGUAAAACACCUGGUAAAAAAAAAUAAAUAAUAAAAAAACCAUUUGAACAACAAAAACAAUAACAACAAUAUUUAAAAAUUGAUUAUUUCCCUUUUCAAUUGUAUUUUAAAUUAAUGAUAA